UGAGACACCGACUGCUGGUUCAUGGCCCCACCAGUAGGGGGAGACGCCACCUAUUUCCCAGCUGAAAGUUGUUUGGUCCAGUCAGUUCUCACUGGGCUCAUCUAGAGGGACGCCGCUCCUGCACAUGCCUGGUCCUGAGAUCCUACCAGGACCUGACCUUGAUCCAGAACCUGAUCUUGAUCCAAGUCUGGACCAGAGCCGGACCAGAAUCCUUCAGCACCAGAUCCAGGAACAGCAGCAGCUCGGUUCUUCUCUCUCACUUCCUGCUAGGUUAACUUUGGCUCCACUUUGACUCGGAUCUGCAGCGACUCGGGUCGACCAACAACUCUCAGAUCAGCGAGGGGGUGGAGCCAGCUAUCGCGCCAUGUUGCCUUGGGUGACAAUCCUGAUGGUGAUGAUGAUGAAGAGAGACACUGCCUCGGCUGACAUCACCAACAUAACUGCAACCAGCGGCGAGAGACUCAAGCUGUCACCAGACCUCAGAACAGGGAGGAUGGGGACCGGACUGGAAUUCAGAUGGACCCACCCCCACUUGCUGCUGGACAACCGGAACACCAGGUGUCACCACGACCGCUGUGAGCUGCUGGAGGACGGGUCGCUGAGCUUCAGCAGAGUCCAGCCAGAGGACUCUGGAAUCUACACGCUGGAGGUCUACAACCUACAGGGGAAGAGGCAACAUGAGAAGGUGUUCCGCCUGCAGGUGGAAGAAAUCAACCAGUCCAGGACAACUGCCAUCGUCUGCUCGCUCCUCCUGUUACUAAUCCUGCUGCUCCUCAUCAUCUCCUUCCUCCUGUGGAGGAGGAGGCUUCUCAGCUCCAGGACUUCAGGUGCAGCAGGUGAAAGGGAGACCCAGAUCUACAUGGAGAUGCGUGGUAACCAUGGCAACAAGGAUCAAGAGGAGGCGGAAAAGAAGGAGGAAGAACCUAUUUAUGUUCCCUGUUAUCCUGGAGUUCCUGCUGAGCCGGCCGAGAACGUCUAUGUCUGAUGGCCAAUCGGAGCGCUGCACUGUGGGGCCGGCCAAACAGAGUGCUGUGCUGUGGGGCUGGCCAAUCAGAACGCUAUGCUGCAGGGCUGGCCGAUCAGAGGAAUUCAGGAUAGGCCAAUCAGAAUGCUGUGCUGCAGGGCCGGCCAAUCAGAACGCUGCGCUGUGGGGCUGGCCAAUCAGAACGCUGUGCUGCAGGGCUGGCCAAUCAGAGCACUUUGCUGCAGGGCCAGCCAAUCAGAGCGCUGCAAGGCUGGCACUCAGCUGUGAUUGGCUGAGCUGUUAAACUGUUUUCCUUUCUACCAAAUAAAGAAAUAAAUUAACCCAGACAUUGAUGUUAGAACCUGCUGAUGUCUUUCUCUUCAGCUCCGGCCAGGUUCCUGUCAGACAGAACCAGGUCCGUUCCAGUUUUUUCUGCCUGGUUCUGCUUCAUGGACUCAGAACCAGAAUUCUGGGACCAUCUGGACCUGCAGCUUGGUUUAUGAUCAGAGUCCUGGAGGUUCUGGAGGUUCUGGAGGCCUGCUCUGUGACCCAGGAGAAAGUUCUGGUGAUGUUACACAUCUGAACCGGUUCAUCAUCAGGCCACAGGAAGCCGGUGGAGCUCUGAUCUCUGGGACAGGAAGUGGUUUCAGAAUAAAUGUCAUCAGAACA